GGAGGGUGCGAGCGUUAAUCGGAAUUACUGGGCGUAAAGCGCACGCAGGCGGUUUGUUAAGCUAGAUGUGAAAGCCCCGGGCUCAACCUGGGAUGGUCAUUUAGAACUGGCAGACUAGAGUCUUGGAGAGGGGAGUGGAAUUCCAGGUGUAGCGGUGAAAUGCGUAGAUAUCUGGAGGAACAUCAGUGGCGAAGGCGACUCCCUGGCCAAAGACUGACGCUCAUGUGCGAAAGUGUGGGUAGCGAACAGGAUUAGAUACCCUGGUAGUCCACACCGUAAACGCUGUCUACUAGCUGUGUGUGUCUUUAAGACGUGCGUAGCGAAGCUAACGCGCUAAGUAGACCGCCUGGGGAGUACGGCCGCAAGGUUAAAACUCAAAUGAAUUGACGGGGGCCCGCACAAGCGGUGGAGCAUGUGGUUUAAUUCGAUGCAACGCGAAGAACCUUACCUACACUUGACAUGCUGAGAAGUUACUAGAGAUAGUUUCGUGCCUUCGGGAACUCAGACACAGGUGCUGCAUGGCUGUCGUCAGCUCGUGUCGUGAGAUGUUGGGUUAAGUCCCG
rnacentral:rRNA from 1 species